CCCGGGUUCAAGUGAUUCUCCUGCCUCAGCCUCCUAAGUAACUGGGAUUACAGCUUUUCCUGAAGCCCUGCAACUGAAGCCAGAGGACUUAAAAACUUAAGGAGAAAUCGUCACAGGAACUUAUGUAUAAACAGCCUUCGUUCCUGUUGAUAUAUGGACUACUUAGAAAGUUCACUUGAACACCCCGUUAGAACUAUGAUCCAGGAAAAUCUGUCAGAUUGCCAUUUCAAUCUGAAGAUGCUCCAGAUGCUUCGGAUUGAGGCAAGCUGGAAAAGCUAGUCUACGGAUGAUUCCAGAUAUUCACCUUUUUUUUUUUUU